CCUACGGGAGGCAGCAGUGAGGAAUAUUGGUCAAUGGGCGCGAGCCUGAACCAGCCAAGUAGCGUGAAGGAUGACUGCCCUACGGGUUGUAAACUUCUUUUAUAAAGGAAUAAAGUGAGGCACGUGUGCCUUUUUGUAUGUACUUUAUGAAUAAGGAUCGGCUAACUCCGUGCCAGCAGCCGCGGUAAUACGGAGGAUCCGAGCGUUAUCCGGAUUUAGUGGGUUUAAAGGGAGCGUAGAUGGGUUGUUAAGUCAGUUGUGAAAGUUUGCGGCUCAACCGUAAAAGUGCAAUUGAUACUGGCAGUCUUGAGUACAGUUGAGGUAGGCGGAAUUCGUGGUGUAGCGGUGAAAUGCUUAGAUAUCACGAAGAACUCCGAUUGCGAAGGCAGCUUACUAAACUACAACUGACACUGAGGCUCGAAAGCGUGGGUAUCAAACAGGAUUAGAUACCCCAGUAGUC
rnacentral:rRNA from 1 species